rnacentral:rRNA from 1 species
AGCAGCCGCGGUAAUUCCAGCUCCAAUAGCGUAUAUUAAAGUUGUUGCAGUUAAAAAGCUCGUAGUUGAAUUUCGGGAUUAAUAUGUUGGUCGUGCCUUGGUACGUACUGGCAUUAUUGAUUCCUACCUUCUGAAGAACCUCGAUGUCAUUAAUUUGGUGUCUUGGGGAAUCAGGACCGUUACUUUGAAAAAUUAGAGUGUUUAAAGCAGGCUCGCGCUUGAAUACAUUAGCAUGGAAUAAUGAAAUAGGACGUUUGAUUCUAUUUUGUUGGUUUCUAGGAUCGACGUAAUGAUUAAUAGGGAUAGUUGGGGGCAUUAGUAUUCAAUUGUCAGAGGUGAAAUUCUUGGAUUUAUUGAAGACUGACUACUGCGAAAGCAUUUGCCAAGGAUGUUUUCAUUAAUCAAGAACGAAAGUUAGGGGAUCGAAGACGAUCAGAUACCGUCGUAGUCUUAAACCAUAAACUAAUGCCGACUAGGGAUCGGAUGAU